GUGAGGAAUUUUCCGCAAUGGGCGAAAGCCUGACGGAGCAAUGCCGCGUGAAGGAUGAAGGCCUAUGGGUUGUAAACUUCUUUUCUCAGAAAAGAAUUAUGACGGUAUCUGAGGAAUAAGCAUCGGCUAACUCUGUGCCAGCAGCCGCGGUAAGACAGAGGAUGCAAGCGUUAUCCGGAAUGAUUGGGCGUAAAGCGUCUGUAGGUUGUUUAAAAAGUAUUCUGUCAAAGAUUAGGGCUUAACCCUAGAUAGGCAGAAUAAACUUUUAAGCUAGAGUUUGGUAGAGGCGGAGGGAAUUCCCGGUGGAGCGGUGAAAUGCGUAGAUAUCGGGAGGAACACCAAAGGCGAAGGCACUCUGCUGGGCCAAUACUAACACUGAGAGACGAAAGCGAGGGGAGCAAAUGGGAUUAGAUACCCCGGUAGUCC
rnacentral:rRNA from 1 species